rnacentral:rRNA from 1 species
AGAGUUUGAUCCUGGCUCAGGAUGAACGCUGGCGGCGUGCCUAAUACAUGCAAGUCGAGCGAACGGACGAGAAGCUUGCUUUUCUGAUGUUAGCGGCGGACGGGUGAGUAACACGUGGAUAACCUACCUAUAAGACUGGGAUAACUUCGGGAAACCGGAGCUAAUACCGGAUAAUAUUUUGAACCGCAUGGUUCAAAAGUGAAAGACGGUCUUGCUGUCACUUAUAGAUGGAUCCGCGCUGCAUUAGCUAGUUGGUAAGGUAACGGCUUACCAAGGCAACGAUGCAUAGCCGACCUGAGAGGGUGAUCGGCCACACUGGAACUGAGACACGGUCCAGACUCCUACGGGAGGCAGCAGUAGGGAAUCUUCCGCAAUGGGCGAAAGCCUGACGGAGCAACGCCGCGUGAGUGAUGAAGGUCUUCGGAUCGUAAAACUCUGUUAUUAGGGAAGAACAUAUGUGUAAGUAACUGUGCACAUCUUGACGGUACCUAAUCAGAAAGCCACGGCUAACUACGUGCCAGCAGCCGCGGUAAUACGUAGGUGGCAAGCGUUAUCCGGAAUUAUUGGGCGUAAAGCGCGCGUAGGCGGUUUUUUAAGUCUGAUGUGAAAGCCCACGGCUCAACCGUGGAGGGUCAUUGGAAACUGGAAAACUUGAGUGCAGAAGAGGAAAGUGGAAUUCCAUGUGUAGCGGUGAAAUGCGCAGAGAUAUGGAGGAACACCAGUGGCGAAGGCGACUUUCUGGUCUGUAACUGACGCUGAUGUGCGAAAGCGUGGGGAUCAAACAGGAUUAGAUACCCUGGUAGUCCACGCCGUAAACGAUGAGUGCUAAGUGUUAGGGGGUUUCCGCCCCUUAGUGCUGCAGCUAACGCAUUAAGCACUCCGCCUGGGGAGUACGACCGCAAGGUUGAAACUCAAAGGAAUUGACGGGGACCCGCACAAGCGGUGGAGCAUGUGGUUUAAUUCGAAGCAACGCGAAGAACCUUACCAAAUCUUGACAUCCUUUGACAACUCUAGAGAUAGAGCCUUCCCCUUC